GGUGGCAGCAGCCGCGGUAACACCGGCAGCUCUAGUGGUAGCUGGUUUUAUUGGGCCUAAAGCGUUCGUAGCCGGUUUAAUAAGUCUCUGGUGAAGUCCUAUAGCUUAACUGUGGGAAUUGCUGGAGAUACUAUUAGGCUUGAGAUCGGGAGAGGUCAGAGGUACGUCCUGGGGUAGGGGUGAAAUCCUGUAAUCCUAGGAGGACCACCUGUGGCGAAGGCGUCUGACUAGAACGAAUCUGACGGUGAGGAACGAAAGCUAGGGGCGCGAACCGGAUUAGAUACCCGGGUAGUCCUAGCCGUAAACUAUGCGGACUUGGUGUGAGGGUGGCUUUGAGCCGUCCUGGUGCCGAAGGGGAAGCUGUUAAGUCCGCCGCCUGGGAAGUACGGUCGCAAGACUGAACUUAAAGGAAUUGGCGGGGGAGCACCACAACGCGUGGAGCCUUGCGGUUUAAUUGGAUUCAACGCCGGAGAUCUCACCAGCGGCGACAGCAGUAUGAUGACCAGGUUGAUGAACUUUGUUUGACAAGCUGAGUGGUGGUGCAUGG
rnacentral:rRNA from 1 species